UACGGGGGGGGCAAGCGUUGUUCGGAAUUACUGGGCGUAAAGGGCUCGUAGGUGGCCAACUAAGUCAGACGUGAAAUCCCUCGGCUUAACCGGGGAACUGCGUCUGAUACUGGAUGGCUUGAGGUUGGGAGAGGGAUGCGGAAUUCCAGGUGUAGCGGUGAAAUGACGUAGAUAUCUGGAGGAACACCGGUGGCGAAGGCGGGUCUCUGGGCCGAUAUUGACGCUGAGGAGCGAAAGCGUGGGGAGCGAACAGG
rnacentral:rRNA from 1 species